UACGAGUCCUUAGGUUGUCUGAUUUUAUUCUUAAUAAAAUUUAUUUAUUUUUCUUAGACGUUGAUUUGUUUUGGGUGGUUUGAAGGAGAACAGCCUGAUUUGUCACGGGGCUGUUUUUCCCUUCAUUUUUUUGUAUAUUUCGUGCUUUAUGCAGGGUUAUGCCCGUAUUACCACCCUUAUAACCCGUUUCUCUCUGUAUUCCCUAUUUGGAUUUUCUAUCUAGGGAAUACCUCUAUUUAGUA